AAGCUAGUUGGUUCUCAGUCGGAGGAGGCUUUUCUCAUAUGUUCACCAAACUGGAAAUGCUAUUGGGCAUGCCUUUGCUUACCUAGCUCUUCAAUAUUUAAAUCCAGAUGUCACCCUCUCAGGCCAUUUCUGAGCAGUACAUCUAAAAGUAGUGACACCUCCCACGCAACAUCCAUUCUUUGUCUCCAUUGUACCUUAUCCUCUGAAGUUGUCAUGCUUAUUGACCAGCUCUUCCUACUGAAAGUUGCAUGAUCAGGAUGUAGCUCUCAGCUACUGCUCUAGCACCUGCCUGUAUGCCACCAUGAUGAUAAUGGACUAAACCUCUGAAACUGUCUGUUUCUACCCUGAGAAUGGAGCAGUUCAUGAAAUCAAACCAAGGACUGAAAAAAGGUUCAAGAAAACCACUAGUUUUUAUAUAACUCCAUUAUCUUUACAGUACAGGAUGGAUGGAUAUUCUGUGAUCAAAAUGUACAGUAUGCUAACUUUAGGAAAUAAGUGGCCAGUCCUUGAAUUUGAUAAAACACUGGAGGCUCAAUAUCACUAAAACAUAUUUGGUGGCAUGAGUUUUUUUGGAGCACAAAUUCAGCAACUGAGAUGAACUGUAGAGCAGAUCUGUGUUUAUUCCCAUUUGCAAGAAAGAGCAGAUGGAGAAGAAUACAGCAGGGUAACCAAGGAUGUGGGUGUAGGAGUCAGAAUACUUGGGUAAUCAUGGCUUUGCUGCCAUUUACUAGUUGUGUGACCCAGAGCAACUCACUUUCAUGUUUGUCUCCUCAGUUUCUCUCCAUCUGCAAAAUAAAGGUAAUAAUGAAGUGAAUUAAUAAUUAAAA